rnacentral:SRP_RNA from 1 species
UUAUGGGUAGGCUGGGCGAUUCGGGGUUGCCUGUAACCUGAAAUCCUCUAUAUGCAGUGAGCCGAAAACCGUGGCGAGGCGGUCUUCCAGUGGUUAGGCCCCUCGGUUCAGUUGUUGAUGGUCCGUCCUCCGGGAUGCAGCAGGUUGUGAACUGUGUCAGGCCUUGACGGGAGCAGCACUAAGCAGUCGGUUGCAUGUUCGGGGGGUGGCGGACCUGAGACUGUCCGUGGAUUCGCCGCCGUUGAAAGUCGUCCAGCCACGGGAACCCGCUG